CGCCCAUUAAAGCGGUACGUGAGCUGGGUUUAGAACGUCGCGAGACAGUUCGGUCCCUAUCCACGGUAGGCGUAGGAAAUCUGAAGGGAGCUGUUCCUAGUACGAAAGGACCGGAACGGACGAACAUAUGGUGUACCAGUUGUCCCGCCAGGGGCAGCGCUGGGUAGCUACGUUCGGAAGAGAUAACCGCUGAAGGCAUAUAAGCGGGAAGCUCGCCCUAAGAUUAGAUUUCCCACCCUUCGGGGCUAAAGGUCCCUUGUAGACUACAAGGUUGAUAGGCUGGGCGUGUAAGUCCGGUAACGGAUUUAGCUAACCAGUACUAAUAGACCGUGAGGCUUGACCAUA
rnacentral:rRNA from 1 species